UACGGAGGGUGCAAGCGUUUAUCCGGAUUCACUGGGUUUAAAGGGUGCGUAGGCGGACAGGUAAGUCAGUGGUGAAAUCUCUGGGCUUAACCCAGAAACUGCCGUUGAUACUAUCUGUCUUGAAUACCGUGGAGAUGAGCGGAAUAUGUCAUGUAGCGGUGAAAUGCUUAGAUAUGACAUAGAACACCAAUUGCGAAGGCAGCUCGUUACACGAAUAUUGACUCUGAGGCACGAAAAGCGUGGGGGAUCAAAACAGG
rnacentral:rRNA from 1 species